rnacentral:rRNA from 1 species
ACGCUCGACACCUACGGGAGGCAGCAGUGGGGAAUAUUGCACAAUGGGGGAAACCCUGAUGCAGCGACGCCGCGUGGAGGAAGAAGGUCUUCGGAUUGUAAACUCCUGUUGUUGGGGAAAAANAGGAUGGUACCCAACAAGGAAGUGACGGCUAACUACGUGCCACAGCCGCGGUAAUCUGAGCGGGCUGGCAAGGC